rnacentral:rRNA from 1 species
AGAGUUUGAUCCUGGCUCAGGAUGAACGCUAGCGGCAGGCUUAACACAUGCAAGUCGAACGGUAAGGUCUCGCUUGCGAGAUACACGAGUGGCGCACGGGUGAGUAACGCGUAUGCAACUUACCCCUAACUGGGAGAUAGCCCCGAGAAAUCGGGAUUAAUAUCCCAUAAUGUUAUUUUGAGACAUCUCAUUAUAACUAAAGCUCCGGCGGUUAGGGAUGGGCAUGCGUAACAUUAGCUUGUUGGUAAGGUAACGGCUUACCAAGGCUACGAUGUUUAGGGGGUCUGAGAGGAUGAUCCCCCACACUGGUACUGAGACACGGACCAGACUCCUACGGGAGGCAGCAGUGAGGAAUAUUGGUCAAUGGACGAAAGUCUGAACCAGCCAUGCCGCGUGCAGGAUGACUGCCCUAUGGGUUGUAAACUGCUUUUCUAUAGGAAGAAACCCUCGAUCGUGAUCGAGGCUGACGGUACUAUAGGAAUAAGGAUCGGCUAACUCCGUGCCAGCAGCCGCGGUAAUACGGAGGAUCCAAGCGUUAUCCGGAUUUAUUGGGUUUAAAGGGUGCGUAGGUGGAUUAAUAAGUCAGUGGUGAAAUCCCAUAGCUUAACUAUGGAACUGCCAUUGAUACUGUUAGUCUUGAGUAUAGUUGGAGUAGGCGGAAUGUGUCAUGUAGCGGUGAAAUGCAUAGAGAUGACACAGAACUCCGAUCGUGAAGACAGCUUACUAAACUAUUACUGACACUGAGGCACGAAAGCGUGGGGAGCGAACAGGAUUAGAUACCCUGGUAGUCCACGCCGUAAACGAUGAUUACUCGAUGUAUGCGCUUAGCGUAUGUGUCCAAGCGAAAGCGUUAAGUAAUCCACCUGGGGAGUACGGUCGCAAGAUUGAAACUCAAAGGAAUUGACGGGGGCCCGCACAAGCGGAGGAGCAUGUGGUUUAAUUCGAUGAUACGCGAGGAACCUUACCUGGGCUUAAAUGGUGGGCGAUUUUUCGGGAAACCGAUUUUCCCUUCGGGGCGACCAUCAAGGUGCUGCAUGGCUGUCGUCAGCUCGUGCCGUGAGGUGUCGGGUUAAGUCCCAUAACGAGCGCAACCCCUAUUCUUAGUUGCCAUCAGGUAAUGCUGGGGACUCUAAGAAAACUGCCAGCGCAAGCUGUGAGGAAGGUGGGGAUGACGUCAAGUCAGCACGGCCCUUAUGUCCAGGGCUACACACGUGCUACAAUGGCCAGUACAAUGGGUUGCUACCUGGUGACAGGAUGCUAAUCUCUAAAGCUGGUCUCAGUUCGGAUUGAAGUCUGCAAUUCGACUUCAUGAAGGUGGAUUCGCUAGUAAUCGUAUAUCAGCAAUGAUACGGUGAAUACGUUCCCGGGCCUUGUACACACCGCCCGUCAAGCCAUGGAAGCUGGGGGUACCUAAAGUCGGUAACCGUAAGGAGCCGCCUAGGGUAAAUCUGGUAACUGGGGCUAAGUCGGAACAAGGUA